rnacentral:rRNA from 1 species
UGGGGAAUAUUGCACAAUGGGGGAAACCCUGAUGCAGCAACGCCGCGUGAAGGAAGACGGUUUUCGGAUUGUAAACUUCUGUUCUUAGUGAAGAUAGUGACGGUAGCUAAGGAGCAAGCCACGGCUAACUACGUGCCAGCAGCCGCGGUAAUACGUAGGUGGCAAGCGUUGUCCGGAAUUACUGGGUGUAAAGGGAGCGCAGGCGGGGAGCCAAGUCAGCUGUGAAAACUACAGGCUUAACUUGUAGACUGCAGUUGAAACUGGUUUUCUUGAGUGAAGUAGAGGUUGGCGGAAUUCCGAGUGUAGCGGUGAAAUGCGUAGAUAUUCGGAGGAACACCGGUGGCGAAGGCGGCCAACUGGGCUUUAACUGACGCUGAGGCUCGAAAGUGUGGGGAGCAAACA